AAUGGGGGCAACCCUGAACGAGCAAUGCCGCGUGAGCGAAGAAGGUCUUCGGAUUGUAAAGCUCUGUUGCCGGGGAAAAAGGAAGGAAAGAGGAAAUGCUUUUCUUUGGAUGGUACCCGGCCAGAAAGUCACGGCUAACUACGUGCC
rnacentral:rRNA from 1 species